rnacentral:lncRNA from 1 species
AUUGACCUAUGUGUAUUCAUUGAUUUUUUAUUUUAUUUUUUUUUUUUGAGAGAGAAAGAUAGUAUAUUAUUCACGUCGUUCAUUUUUUUAAACAUAAAUUUAGUCGAAAAUAUAAAUUAAUUAGUUUUUGAACUUUAAAUCUCGUGUACCAAUCAUUAAAUUUUUUUGUUACUUGUGCUAGUGACGGUUGAUUUUGUGUAUUAAUUCAUUGUUAGGUA